rnacentral:piRNA from 1 species
AGGCGACCUGUAUCACGGAGAUGUC